UUUAAUAGAAACUCAAUACCUCUACAUUGAAUUAAUGGAUUCAGUUAGUACAAUGAUGAACUUUGUCUGCUCAGUCUAUGAACUUUGUCUUCUCCAUCGAUGAAUCUCGCGAUGAAUUUUCUUGCUCAAUCGAUGAAAGGCUCAAUGGGGAGGCUGCUUCAGAAAUACUCAAUAGAGCGUCAGAUUCGGAUCUGCAUGACAGAAAGUCUGCUCAACAAAGUGCUCAGUCAAUGAAACUUGCAAUGAACUUUAUACUCAAUCGAUGGAAGGCUCAGCAUGGAGGCUACUUCGAAAAUGCCCAAUAAAGCGCCAGAUUUGGGUUUGCUCAAUGGAGGAUCUGCUCAAUCUUGCGAUGAACAAUGAUGAAAUGUCAAAACGAGAGAGAUGAGAGAUUUUUAGUGUUCAAGUUAAUUUUUUUUUAUUAAAG
rnacentral:lncRNA from 1 species